AUCUUUUUAGUAUAAUUAGUACUACUGACUUCCAAUCAGUAAGAUCCGAAAUAAUAACGGAAAAAGAUA
rnacentral:tRNA from 1 species